AAUUCUCAACCUCCUCGAUUUCUUCUAGAGACCGAAGGAGGCUUGGACUUUGGAGGCCUUUGCUGGCAUCUUCUUCUGAAGGUGCCCAGCUCCUCUCAAAUGAAUUAGUAGGGUGUCCUCUUUGCCGAUCCUUGACAUGUGAUAAGAUGCUUCCGUGUCUUGGUUUCUGGCUCUGUUGCUCUUGGGACUCCGCUUCUAACCAUCUUUAUGUUCGAGCUCACUCUCCCUUCUCGGGACACUUGCUCCGACCACACGAAC
rnacentral:misc_RNA from 1 species